rnacentral:tRNA from 1 species
GUUCUUGUAGUAAAAUAAUUACAGUGGUUCUUCAAGUCAUAGAUUUUGGUUAAAGUCCGAGCAAGAAUU